rnacentral:rRNA from 14 species
CUCAGGUGCGCGAGUGAUCCCUUGUUAAGGAACUCGGCAAAAUGGCUCCGUAACUUCGGGAUAAGGAGCGCUGCUUCGGGUGGCUCAGAUCGAGCAUAAGCCUGGAGCAGCCGCAGUGAAAAGGCCCAAGCGACUGUUUAUCAAAAACACAUGACUCUGCGAACUCGAAAGAGGAGGUAUAGGGUCUGACACCUGCCCGGUGCUGGAAGGUUAAGAGG